GCCUCCGUGGUGUAAUGGUCAGCAUGCUCGACGUAACCGAGAGGUCCGCGGUUCGAUUCCUAGCGAAGGCU
rnacentral:tRNA from 1 species